GAUGAACGCUGGCGGCGUGCCUAAUACAUGCAAGUCGAGCGAACAGACGAGGAGCUUGCUCCUCUGACGUUAGCGGCGGACGGGUGAGUAACACGUGGAUAACCUACCUAUAAAACUGGGAUAACUUCGGGAAACCGGAGCUAAUACCGGAUAAUAUAUUGAACCGCAUGGUUCAAUAGUGAAAGACGGUUUUGCUGUCACUUAUAGAUGGAUCCGCGCCGCCUUAGCUAGUUGGUAAGGUAACGGCUUACCAAGGCAACGAUGCGUAGCAGACCUGAGAGGGUGAUCGGCCACACUAGAACUGAGACACGGUCCAGACUCCUACGGGAGGCAGCAGUAGGGAAUCUUCCGCAAUGGGCGAAAGCUUGACGGAGCAACGCCGCGUGAGUGAUGAAGGUCUUCGGAUCGUAAAACUCUGUUAGUAGGGAAGAACAAAUGUGUAAGUAACUAUGCACGUCUUGACGGUACCUAAUCAGAAAGCCACGGCUAACUACGUG
rnacentral:rRNA from 1 species